GCCAGCAGCCAUAUCACCCUGCAGCUCGCAACUGGCAGGCUACUGAAGCUAAGUGGGUGUGAGCCUGGUGGUUACCUGGAUGGGAGACCUCCUGGGAAAUACCAAGGUUGCUGCUGGAA
rnacentral:rRNA from 1 species